rnacentral:rRNA from 1 species
GGAAAAGAAACUAACUAGGAUUCCCAUAGUAGCUGCGAGCGAACAGGGAAAAGCCCAGCACCGAAUCUCGCGACCGGUAACGGGCGCCGAGAAAUGUGGUGUUAGGGAGGGUCCAUUUAUCUCGAUGUGAUGCGGUGAGUCCAAGUCCUUCUUGAACGGGGCCACAGCCCAUAGAGGGUGCCAGGCCCGUAGUGACCUCCGUUCACAGCGAGAGGAUCUCUCCUCAGAGUCGGGUUGCUUGAGAGUGCAGCCCUAAGUGGGUGGUAAACUCCAUCUAAGGCUAAAUAUGACCACGAGACCGAUAGCGAACAAGUACCGUGAGGGAAAGUUGAAAAGCACUUUGAAGAGAGAGUUCAAGAGUACGUGAAACCGUUUAGGGGUAAACCUGAGAAACCCGAAAGGUCGAAUGGGGAAAUUCAUUCGUGUUUCGACUGGCGGCGGUAGGUGGUUGUGUGACGCAAAAUGCUUUUCGGAGUAUAAAGCGCUCCGGCCAUCUUUCGAACCGUCGUCGAAUGCGUGCACUUUUCCCCUAGUAGGACGUCGUGAUCCGUUGGGCGUCGGUCUAAGGCUUGUACGGUGGAGCCCGUAGAUUCGAACUUGUUUCGAGACUUCUACGGACCCGUCUUGUUUUUACUGGCCGACACGCUCGACGGUAGAUAGGAUGGCGCGAGGCCGCUACAUAGUUAGCGUCCGGCCCGUGGCAAGCGCACCCAGCGUAUUGGUGACCGGACCUAGUGCCGGUCCUGACCCUGCGGUGACUGUUGGCUGCGGUGUUCUCGGACAGACCUCGUUUGUGAAAUGCCGAUCAACGACGCU